rnacentral:rRNA from 1 species
CCCAAUGUGCUCGGUGAUUCGGUUCAUCGAGUAAAGCUCCGGCGCUUCGGGAGAGGCCUGCGGCCCAUCAGCUAGUUGGUAGGGUAACGGCCUACCAAGGCAGAGACGGGUAGGGGGCGUGAGAGCGCGGACCCCCACACUGGCACUGAGAUACGGGCCAGACUCCUACGGGAGGCAGCAGUAAGGGAUAUUGCGCAAUGGACGAAAGUCAGACGCAGCGACGCCGCGUGGGCGAUGAAGGCCUUCGGGUUGUAAAGCCCUUUUAUGGGGGAAGAGAAAAAGGACGGUACCCCAGGAAUAAGUCCCGGCUAACUACGUGCCAGCAGCCGCGGUAAAACGUAGGGGACAAGCGUUAUCCGGAUUCACUGGGCGUAAAGAGCGUUGAGGCGGUUCCGUAAGUUGGGCGUGAAAGCUCCGGGCUUAACUCGGAGAUGUCGUUCAAUACUGCGGGGCUUGAGGACAGCAGAGGAAGGUGGAAUUCCCGGUGUAGUGGUGAAAUGCGUAGAUAUCGGGAGGAACACCCGUGGCGAAGGCGGCCUUCUGGGCUGUUCCUGACGCUGAAGGCGAAAGCUAGGGGAGCGAACGGGAUUAGAUACCCCGGUAGUCCUAGCUGUAAACGAUGGAUGCUGGGUGUGGGGGGUGUAAAUUCCCUCUGUGCCGAAGCAAACGCGUUAAGCAUCCCGCCUGGGGACUACGGCCGCAAGGCUAAAACUCAAACGAAUUGACGGGGGCCCGCACAAGCAGCGGAGCGUGUGGUUUAAUUCGAUGCUACACGAAGAACCUUACCUGGGUUUGACAUGCACGUGGUAGGGAACCGAAAGGGGACCGACCUUCGGGAGCGUGCACAGGUGCUGCAUGGCUGUCGUCAGCUCGUGCCGUGAGGUGUCGGGUUAAGUCCCGUAACGAGCGCAACCCUUGCCCUUAGUUACAAGUGUCUAAGGGGACUGCCCGGGACAACUGGGAGGAAGGUGGGGAUGACGUCAAGUCAGCAUGGCCUUUAUAUCCAGGGCUACACACACGCUACAAUGGCCGGUACAAUAGGUUGCGAAGUCGUGAGGCGGAGCCAAUCCUCAAAGCCGGUCUCAGUUCGAAUUGCAGUCUGCAACUCGACUGCAUGAAGCUGGAGUUGCUAGUAAUCGCAGGUCAGCUAUACUGCGGUGA